UUCUUGCCAUCGGAUGUGCCCAGAUGGGUUUAGCUCGUAGGUGGGGUAACGGCUCACCUAGGCGACGAUCCCUAGCUGGUCUGAGAGGAUGACCAGCCACACUGGAACUGAGACACGGUCCAGACUCCUACGGGAGGCAGCAGUGGGGAAUAUUGCACAAUGGGCGCAAGCCUGAUGCAGCCAUGCCGCGUGUAUGAAGAAGGCCUUCGGGUUGUAAAGUACUUUCAGCGGGGAGGAAGGGAGUAAAGUUAAUACCUUUGCUCAUUGACGUUACCCGCAGAAGAAGCACCGGCUAACUCCGUGCCAGCAGCCGCGGUAAUACGGAGGGUGCAAGCGUUAAUCGGAAUUACUGGGCGUAAAGCGCACGCAGGCGGUUUGUUAAGUCAGAUGUGAAAUCCCCGGGCUCAACCUGGGAACUGCAUCUGAUACUGGCAAGCUUGAGUCUCGUAGAGGGGGGUAGAAUUCCAGGUGUAGCGGUGAAAUGCGUAGAGAUCUGGAGAAUACCGUGCGAUGGGAUGUCU
rnacentral:rRNA from 1 species